GCCUCAACCCACCGCAGCUCCGACUUCCUGGGGUGGGGGGAGUCCGACAGGGACCCCAGGAGCAGCUCUAGGUGCUUUCCUUUGAAUCUGGGGAUGAGGAGGGGCAGAGACCCUUGCCUGAGGGCUGCCCAGAUGGAAGUAGCUGAGCGGCAAGCAACUGAAGCCCCUGCCGUCUGACUCCAGAUUCCUGGCGGACGCUUCACCAUCUUAGUCUUCAGAAAACCCAGUUAUGAGCCCACAGCCAGGCCAAGGGACAGCUUCACAACUAACCUGUCCCCCAACGAUCACAAUCAAGUAUGCGAUCCUUGGCGUUCUCACCCUCUAGAGACCUUGAGGCAAGAAGGAUGAAGGCCGAUAUGCUAAGGAUAUUGGAGCAAAAAGAGCCUGUGUUCCCACCGGCAUCA